GAUGGUGAAAUCAUCUGUACAACAAACCCCUGUGACACAAGUUUGCCUACAUAACAAACCUGCACAUGUACCCCUGAAAUGAAAAGUUAAAAAAUUUUUUAAAAACACCAUUUACUUCCUGCGGGUGCACAGGCUGUGGCCAUCUACCUCUCUGUUGCUCUUGCCAUCAGAGAAGAUGGCCUUGGAGACGGUGCCGAAGGACCUGCGGCAUCUGCUGGCCUGUUUGCUGUGUUGACUGGUCAAGACUAUAGACCAGUUUGAAUAUGAUGGUUUUGACAAUUGUGAUGCAUAUCUACAAAUGAAAGGUAACUGAGAGAUGGUGUAUGACUCCACCAGCUCCUCCUUUGAUGGAAUCAUUGUGAUGAUGAGUCCAGAGGACAGCUGGGUCUUCAAGUGGCAGCGAGUCAGUAACUUUAAGCCAGGUGUAUAUGCGGUGUCAGUCACUGGUUGCCUGCCUCAAGGAAUCGUGCAGGAGCUGAAAAGUCGAGAAGGGCCUACAAAUCCAGAGACACAGCUAUAAAGACCUAGCAAGAUGCAGGGCUGCCAGCGUCUUUGCCGUCCACCACCUGCCUCUGCUUCUUGUUCUGAAACUAAAUGAGCAGAACUUCAAAUAAUUCCUUCCCUCCAAUUCAGACUCAGCUGACUGUUGAGAGAGCAGCACAUCAUUUUAUCAUUUUAUCUUCUUUGGACUACAAGUGGGGUGGGAGGGAUUUGGGUUGGUGUAUUAACAGAUGGAAUUGAGGAGAGAGUAGGAUGCUGAUUUUCCUACCCAUGGCCCAAGGCUGUGCCUUCCUUAUGCUGAGGACUCUAGGUCGAAUGUCAAUAAAUAUGAACCUCUAGGGGGAAAAAAAAAAAAAAAAAACACCAUUUUGCUAGUAAU